rnacentral:lncRNA from 1 species
UAAGUGUUAAAGGGUUAACUACAGAGGUGUCCUUCGGGGCUCCCAAGUGAAGCCUUUGCCGACCACAGCUGAAGAACAAGGCAGCAUGAUCAACAGGAAAGUCAGAGUCUAUUUAUCUCUGGCACAGCCUGCCCAUUUCUAGUCUGGAUGGAAAAGAAGACUAAAGUCCACGGAGCUCUUCGGCAAACAACAACCAGCAUAACAACAAAUGCAGCAGAAGAGAAUGCCAAGGUUGUCAUCCCCCAUCAGCGGUUUGGAUGGAUUUCACCCUGGGAGAAGCUUUCGGGACGCUCGGGGCGGAAUCUUGCGCAGGAAACAGGUGGUUUGCUUUACUGAGAGGCAUGUGUAAUGGCCAGGGAGCUGCGCCGCGCCACGCCAAGCUACAGCAGAUGGGCUGCAGCUCGCUCCGCUCCGCUGAAGGAUAUUUUUCAUGUUAUGUGUGGAAAAGAGCAGUAACCCUUGUUUGUUAUAUGAGGCCUUGUAGGACUUUGUUUGGAAAGAAGCCAUUUGCAAGAUAAAAAAAAAAGCCAUUAAAAAUAUGAGUCACCAUAAUCACAUUCAAAGUGCUCCAGUAUGGCCUUUUAUUUGCAAAGACUUCACUGUAAAAUCAGCUUUUUUUUAUUAUUAUUUAUUUUCAAAUGAAGAAUUUCGCCACAGGUUACCUUGGGUUGAUUGAUGUGACUUUACUGAAAUGACUAAAAAAAAAGCUCAACAAAACCCCAAACAACUCAAAACACAUAAUUCAAACUGCUCAUAGUGCAAAAGUGCUGUGCCUUCUCUGUGCUGUAUCACUGGACUAACAUUUGUAAAUAUAUCCCAACAUUAUCUCAAAUACAAAUGCAUUUCUUUGCCAUACCAAAAUCUGAUACCCCAUUUUGAGUCAUCAGGUGCUCACAUCCUCCCAGAGGAGAGAUGACUUAGCUGCUGCUUUCAAAAUGCAUCCUCCCUGUGAGACUAUGAGCAGUGAGAGGCAGAGGGAGCAGGAACCUUUUUGCUACAUAUCACAAAUUAAAGCACUCAUUCUCUCUGGUGAGCUGUCAUCAAUCUUGAGGCAAGAGCAAUCUUUUGGGCAGGCUUUCUCCACAUAGAGAGCCUUCCUUGCAGCCCAGAAAGCCAACCGUAUCCUGGGCUGCAUCAAAAGAAGCCAGCAGGGUGAGCAAGGUGAUGCUGCCCCUCUUCUGCACUGGUGAGACAUCACCUGGAGUACUGCAUCACGAUGUGGAGUCCUCAGUACAGGAAAGAUGUGGACCCGUUGGAGUGUGUCAGUGUGUCCAGGGGAGGGCCACAAAAAUGAUCCAAGGGAGUAAACACGUUCCCCAUUAGGACAGGCUGAGAGAGCUGGGGCUGUUCAGCCUCAAGAAGGAUCUGGGUAGACCUGAUAGCAGCCUUUCAGUACCUGAAGGGAGGCUGUAAGAAAGAAG